CCUACGGGUGGCAGCAGUGAGGAAUAUUGGUCAAUGGGCGCGAGCCUGAACCAGCCAAGCAGCGUGAAGGAUGACUGCCCUACGGGUUGUAAACUUCUUUUAUACAGGAAUAAAGUGAGGCACGUGUGCCUUUUUGUAUGUACUUUAUGAAUAAGGAUCGGCUAACUCCGUGCCAGCAGCCGCGGUAAUACGGAGGAUUCGAGCGUUAUCCGGAUUUAUUGGGUUUAAAGGGUGCGUAGAUGGGUUGGUAAGUCAGUUGUGAAAGUUUGCGGCUCAACCGUGAAAUUGCAAUUGAUACUGGUAGGCUUGAGUACAGUUGAGGUAGGCGGAAUGCGUGGUGUAGCGGUGAAAUGCUUAGAUAUCACGAAGAACUCCGAUUGCGAAGGCAGCUUACUAAACUGCCACUGACAUUGAUGCUCGAAAGUGUGGGUAGCAAACAGGAUUAGAUACCCUAGUAGUC
rnacentral:rRNA from 1 species